rnacentral:lncRNA from 1 species
AGGGGAAUUGGAAAGUACUCGAGGUCGCAGAUGUACCACAAGAGGGGCAUUUGGGCUAUCAAGGCCAAAAAUGGUGGCGUUUUACCUCGCCACGACCCUAAACCCAAACCUGAAACACCCGCUGAAAAACCACCCAAAUUUUACCCUGCUGAUGAUAUCAAGAAGCCCCUUGUCAACAAGCACAAACCCAAACCCGCUAAGCUCAGGUGCAUUAUCAAUCUCAUUCUCACUUGUUAUGUGUAAUGGAUUUUAAAAUUUGUGUUUUUUUAUUUGAUUUUAGUUUAGUUUGUGUAAUUGAUUUGAUUUGGAGUUUGAGAUGGUAGAAAGGUGACAUAUGAUUGAGAUUAAAGUAGAAAGAGGAUCUAUAGGAAACUCUGAAAUUUAAUGAUUGAAUAAUAUAAUGUGCCGAUACAAAGCUCAGGGUAAAUUUACAACCUAACCAAUUCACUAACACGUAACUAAGUAGAAUUUUGGAUGUGUUCCAGGGCUAGCAUUACUCCGGGAACAGUGUUGAUUCUUCUUGCUGGUAGAUUUAAGGGAAAGAGGGUAGUCUUUUUGAAGCAGCUUCCUUCUGGAUUGCUUCUUGUAACUGGUGAGUUUUGUUGUUAAACAUGAUACUUCUUAUUGCUAAGAUUUUGCAUGCUAAGCAUUUUGUUCAUGUGCCAUUGUAAUAAUCAAUUGAAUUUUUUAUUUUAGUCUUGAUGAGUAAUAAUCAAUUAUUACUCUUGCAUGUGAAUGUUGCUUCUUCAUUAUUGCUUGGGGUGUAUACUCCUGUUUCGUCUCACAAUGUUAGUCUCAUUAUAUUAGGGAUUUCAUUUUCUGAUUUAAGAUUGUAUAGGAAACAGUGAAAAUAGAAAACAAAGAUUAGAUGCUCACCAAAAUACCUAAAUACCUAUUGCUCACCAAUUGUAAUUUGUGAUGCACUCUGUUCUCCACCCAUCUCUGGUCUGUCUUAUAUCUCACUUGCCAUUUCAGGUCCUUUCAAGGUUAAUGGAGUUCCUUUGAGACGUGUGAAUCAGGCCUAUGUUAUUGGCACAUCAACCAAAGUAGAUAUCUCUGCUGUUAAUGUUGACAGCUUUGGCGACAAAUACUUUGCGAAGGAAGCCCAGAAGAAGAAGAAGAAGGGAGAAGGCGAGUUCUUUGAGGCAGAGAAAGAGGUGGGAUUAUCAAUUUUUGGAUUUUGUUGAUGUUCUCCCUGUUAUUCUUACUUGCUUCUGCAUGCUGAUCUCUGCAUUCUUUUUUCUGAUGAUGCAGGAAAAGAGUGUGUUGCCCCAGCAGAAGAAAGAUGACCAGAAAACUGUGGACGCUGCAGUGUUAAAAGCCAUUGAGAGUGUGCCAGACUUGAAGUCCUAUUUGGGUGCCAGGUUUUCUCUGAAGGCCGGGGUGAAACCACAUGAGCUAGUCUUCUAGAGGAAAGAGGGGUGUUACUCUUGUUUUUGAUAUCGUGUUUGUUUAUUGAUGCUGGUUCUUAUAGUUGCCCUCUUAUAACAUUCUUGUUAGCAGACAAAUGAAGAACCUAAAAUUUUGUUAGUCAAAUUGUGACGCGUGCUCUUUACAUUUUGUUGAUUGUGUGAAUUUUAGAUAUUGUGUGGACCUUUAGCAUGCCAAAUGAAAAAAAAAUUGGAAACAGAUAUACAUGUGGCAAGGCUGGUGAAUGGUACUUGUAAAGAACCGUGGUAGUAGUAAAAUGGGUAUGAACAAUUAUCAUGCAAAAUUUUCUGAACUUAUCAAAUUUGCCUCACGGAUUUUUUUCAGUUCACGUCUUUCAUAAUCUGAAGGGUCAAUUUUGUUAGUGUUUUUAGAAAAUGAAUACUACGUAUUAUUGUAUUAGUGUAAACAUUUGACUUGUGUAUGCUAUUUUUAACAGAAUAUCUUAGUUUGCACCUUGAGUGCUUUCGUAAUAUUUAUGUGAAAUGACAUUUAUAAUCUAAUUAAUAGCAAAAGGUUUUGCAUAUUACAUAAUGAUGUUCCACUCAAUAGAACGAAUGACGAUUUACAAAUUUAGAGAAUAUUUUUUGUUUCAUUAAUUUUACGUACUAAAGUGACUCCUUUGCCAAAUUCAAGACCCUAGUUUGAGGUUUACAUGGAAAUUUUUUCAUAAUACAUUCAUAAAAUUUUAAGAUAAUAAAAAAAUCGACAAUGACUAGGAUGAGCCUUCCCGAGUAUUUUUUUUUUUUUUUUUGCCCUUGGCUCCUUUUUAGAAUUUUCUAUUGACUUGCAGUUAAGUAGUUAUGCUUUUGGAAAACUUUAAUAUUCAUGUUUAGACUAAAUUUGAAAAAAUAAUCCUUUAUUUUUUAAAGGCUGAUAAACGUGAAGUAUUAUUUCUUCAUUGAUAAAUUGAAUAUGCAUUUAAUAUAUACUAAAAAAGUAGAAAUAAAAAUGAAAACUUUUUCUUUUUGAAUUUGAAUGAAAUGAAAUUUACACUUAAAAGAUAAAAGUAUGAUAUGUGUGUGAGACAGAAAAAAAAUCAUGUUUUUUCAUUUAAACCAUAGGUAAAAGAUUCGAUCUUGUUUGAAUCGGAAAUCAUGCACAAUAGGACUAACUCUCUCAUCUAUAAAAAAAUCAAAACUAUGACCCUACUUAUAGAAAAUCAAAUCAUUUAAAUAGUUUGAUGGCACGUGUCAAUUUAAACAAAUUAAAUUUUAAUUAGUAAAAUGAAGAUUGGCAUAUUAAAAAAUUAAUGGACACGUAUUAGACUGGGCUUGGAACCACAGACGUAAGCCAACAUUUCGUGGGUCUGGAGCAUGGAUCCUUCGAGUCGGGUCAAGGCCCGUUAGAUAGGGUUUAUACAGAGCAUGUGUAUGUCUGAUUUUCCUUUGCGCAUUGAACGAAAAUUAGGGUUUGUAGUGUAGCAGGAAGAAGCAGCAAUGGCGCCGAAGAUAACACGUAAGGUUAGCAGAAACCCUGAAUUGAUAAGGGGAAUCGGAAAGUACUCGAGGUCGCAGAUGUACCACAAGAGGGGCAUUUGGGCUAUCAAGGCCAAAAACGGUGGCGUUUUACCUCGCCACGACCCUAAACCCAAGCCUGAAGCUCCUGCUGAAAAACCACCCAAAUUUUACCCUGCUGAUGAUAUCAAGAAGCCCCUUGUCAACAAGCACAAACCGAAACCAGCUAAGCUCAGGUGCAUUUUCACUUCAAUCCCAUCCUCACUUUAAUUUGUUUUUAUUUUUGUGUUUUAAUUUAUUUUGACUUAUUUUAUGAUGAUGCUAGUGAAUUGAUUUGGGAUCUGGUGAGUGAAAUGUAUGUUAUUGCUAAUUGAUAAAAUGAAUUUGAAUUUUUUUUAAUAAAAUUUCUUUGGAUUAAUGGCAUUUUUUUAUUAUUUAUAUGUGGAGCCUAUGUCGUUUGAUUUUGUGUCUGGUGUGUGUUCAGG